rnacentral:rRNA from 1 species
CAACUCGACUGCAUGAAGUCGGCAUCGCUAGUAAUCGCAGGUCAGAAUACUGCGGUGAAUACGUGCCCGGGUCUUGUACACACCGCCCGUCACACCAUGGGAGUGGGUUGCUCCAGAAGUAGAUAGCUUAACGAAUGGGCGAUUACCACGGAGUGAUUCAUGACUGGGGUGAAGUCGUAACAAGGUAGCCGUAGGGGACCCUGCGGCUGGAUCCCCUCCUUA